GAGCAAAUACUCUAUGAGGAAAAGGAGCCUUAGGUCUGACAAGAGGAAAAGAAGUCGGAAAUUAAAGGAAGGCUCGCAUGGAGAUAAUCUCAGGGUGCACUCUCUAUGAGAAAAGCAGUGAAAGGCUUUUCGAGAAUCAAGAAAAGCCAAUAGACCCAGUUGCUGAAGAAUUGGAAGGACUAAAAAUCUGUUUUUCAAAAAAAGUUACCAUUGUGGAAAAUGUCUACAGAGGCAGCUGUUCUAUCCACAGAAAGGAACGUCAAAAGUUGCACAGAAUUUCCACUACUUCUGAAAACUUCUAGUAUUGUUUGUCAAAUCAGAGAAUAUUCUUUCAUGGCAACUAUUAGCUGGAGCUGGACACUGCUACUCCUUAAGAGGCAACCUGUUCCACCCAGAAAAGAAGUUACUUAUGAAUGAAAGUCUUACCCUUGUUAGGAAAGAGGAGGAUCAUUUGAAUCAAUAAAGGAAGGCAUUAUCAGAAAGGCAUUCAGGAAGCAGAAUCCCAUGCCUCAGAUGUCAUCAAUGCUGGCAACAUAAUUUUGUUAAAUAAUUUUAAUGGAAGAGAGUCUUUGUGGAUUUUCUUUGAAAUGAACCAUUUGGAGGGCAUCUUGUGAAUAA